rnacentral:rRNA from 1 species
GACGAACGCUGGCGGCGUGCUUAACACAUGCAAGUCGAACGGAAAGGCCCUGCUUUUGUGGGGUGCUCGAGUGGCGAACGGGUGAGUAACACGUGAGUAACCUGCCCUUGACUUUGGGAUAACUUCAGGAAACUGGGGCUAAUACCGGAUAGGAGCUCCUGCUGCAUGGUGGGGGUUGGAAAGUUUCGGCGGUUGGGGAUGGACUCGCGGCUUAUCAGCUUGUUGGUGGGGUAGUGGCUUACCAAGGCUUUGACGGGUAGCCGGCCUGAGAGGGUGACCGGCCACAUUGGGACUGAGAUACGGCCCAGACUCCUACGGGAGGCAGCAGUGGGGAAUAUUGCACAAUGGGCGGAAGCCUGAUGCAGCAACGCCGCGUGCGGGAUGACGGCCUUCGGGUUGUAAACCGCUUUCGCCUGUGACGAAGCGUGAGUGACGGUAAUGGGUAAAGAAGCAGCGGCUAACUACGU